CCUACGGGAGGCAGCAGUGAGGAAUAUUGGUCAAUGGGCUUGCGCCUGAACCAGCCAAGUCGCGUGAGGGAAGACGGUACUUAGGAUUGUAAACUUCUUUUGUCAGGGAACAAAGCCGGAGACGCGUCUCCGGAUGAGUGUACCCGAAGAAAAAGCAUCGGCUAACUCCGUGCCAGCAGCCGCGGUAAUACGGAGGAUGCGAGCGUUAUCCGGAUUUAUUGGGUUUAAAGGGUGCGUAGGCGGGAGAGCAAGUCAGCGGUAAAAUGUCGGGGCUCAACCCCGGCCGGCCGUUGAAACUGGUUUUCUAGAGUGGGCGAGAAGUAUGCGGAAUGCGUGGUGUAGCGGUGAAAUGCAUAGAUAUCACGAAGAACUCCGAUUGCGAAGGCAGCAUACCGGCUCCAUACUGACGCUGAGGCACGAAAGCGUGGGUAUCGAACAGGAUUAGAUACCCUGGUAGUC
rnacentral:rRNA from 1 species